GGUACGCCAUGUGAUGGCACCACCCCGUCCCUCCUGUCCUUUCAACACACGUGUACAUCGGAUGCCUGCUGUGUGCCAGGCACUUUCUUGGCCCUGGGACUGGGGGUGAACAGAACAAGCAGGGUCUCUGUCACACUGAAAAUUCAUAUUCUAGGAGAGAAUGCUGUGGAGACUCCUGAAUUUUCAUGGAUGCUGUCACCUUUUUCAGACCUCUGCUCAAAUGUCACCUCCUCAGAGAGGCCUUCCCUGAUUACCCAUUCUACAGUAGCCACACAUUUGCCCUCAUUCUCCAUCAUAACAUUUAUUACUAUAUGACAUUGUUAUAGGUAGUCAUGUGUUUUUCUGUCUUGCCUUCUAGAAUGUAAGUGCAGCAUUAUAUCCCAGGGGCCUGGAAUAGACCCUGGCACAUAGUGGGCACUCAAUACUUCUUGAAUAGAUGAAUAGUAUCUAGAUUGAAUAGAAAAGUCUAGGGAUGGGACCCAGACAUCAGUAAUUAAAAAAAAUUUUUUUUAUAGCUCUCUAGGUGAUUCUGACAUGGAGCCAGGGUUGAGAACCAUUGCUCCACAUGGUACCCUGGGUACCUCCGCUUGGGUGGUGUCACUGGUACAGGGAGAGGGCUGCAUCUUGCUGCUCUUGUUGGAUGCUGAUGCAGACAAGAGUUAAGGCUCAAGAUUCAUUUUGUGGGGACUUGAUUCCUCGGACUGGCUGUCCCCAGACACACCUGUGUGCUCUUGUCAGCUCCUGGUAGAGUCUUCACGCCUUCACCUUGCCUUCUUCAUUGCCAGCAGCUCUUGUAGUUCUUGCCUUUCUGAUCAAGGAAAGCACAGUUGGAAAUGAAGGGAAUGAAUGUGGUUGUCAGGGUGACAACCUCGAGGAGAGGGAGGCCAGGAGGAAUUUUGUAAGAGCACUGUGGGGAAAGAUGUCUUGAUGGAGGAACUGCUUUGGAGGACUAGCCUGAUUUGGUGUGGUUAAUGUCAGAGCUGCCAUGUGGAUAUAGAAAGUGAUUCUAAGGUAUAUUGUUUCAUUUGCAUUUCUCUUGGUCUACAGGAAAAGCAAAAAUUUCUGGGACAAAAUUAUUAUAAAGAGGGACCUGAAGGAAAUGAUAUUCGAAAGACAAAUGUUGCUCAGAUCCGGAUGGCGUUCCGAUAAUGAGACCUUAUGCAAUGAGCUCAGCUUCCUGUCUGACGCCAUGAAAUCAGAAGAGAUCACAGCCCUGACCAAGUAGUCGAGUACUGGACAUGCAUUUUAACUUUCUGGUUUAAUUUCAAAUCUGCUGUGAUUAACAGUGUUCAAGAUACAAAACUAUCCUCCACGGAGAGGAUGUCUGUGAAGAACUUUCAAACUAGUGAUUUUUCGUUGCACUGUUCACUUUAAGGAAACCAAAUAUUCACAUCACAACCAUCACUCCUAAUUUGGGUCUUGGUUUCCUCAUCUGAAAGGUGAGUUUGCACUAGAUGAGUGGUUUUCAGGUGGUGGUCUGUGAGUUCCCCUCCUGGACCACUUCAAGGCAGGGGUGGGCAGGGGGGAGUGAGGUUCUGGGGUGCUGCUUUUACUUCUUCAAGGUGACUCUGCUUUCAUCAGUUUUACAUUGGGACUUCUGUGUAUUUACAUUUGAACUAAGGACUUUGAAAAGCACAGGACUAGAUGACCUCUGUUCCUUUUGGCUUUAAUAUUCUAUGAUUGUAGCCCAAUUAUCAUUUUACUUAUGAAGAGUUAGUUAGGGCCACAGAAGUAAAGUUUGCUUAAGGUCACACAGCUCUAAUAAGUAAUAGGACUAGAACUAGGUUUCCCCAAUCCUAAUCCAGUCCUUUCCCCACUAUUCCAUCAGACCUCACAAAUUUAGAUUUUUUUUGGUCACUGUAACCUGGUGCAUUUUUUUUCCCCCAAGGUGAAAUCUCACCUUUACCUAAUAUGCAGACUUCUUCAGAAGAUAUAAGUGGUCCCUGGGGG